ACCCUCCGGUUCCCUUUCCCAUUGGAUCUGAACCUGGUCUUGGUGGUCGCAUGAGGAGGGAGAAGAACACUGAAGCCGGCCUCUGGUGGUGUCGCCUGGCUGCACCCUGGGGCUGGUUUCAGACACAC
ensembl:snoRNA